rnacentral:rRNA from 1 species
CAGCAGCCACGGGAAUACGGAGGGUGCAAGCGUUAAUCGGAAUUACUGGGCGUAAAGCGCACGCAGGCGGUCUGACAAGUCAGAUGUGAAAUCCCCGGGCUUAACCUGGGAACUGCAUUUGAAACUGUCAGGCUGGAGUCUUGUAGAGGGGGGUGGAAUUCCAGGUGUAGCGGUGAAAUGCGUAGAGAUCUGGAGGAAUACCGGUGGCGAAGGCGGCCCCCUGGACAAAGACUGACGCUCAGGUGCGAAAGCGUGGGGAGCAAACAGGAUUAGAUACCCCGGUAGUCCCUGUCUCUUAUAC